rnacentral:rRNA from 1 species
UGGGGAAUAUUGCACAAUGGGCGAAAGCCUGAUGCAGCAACGCCGCGUGAGUGAUGAAGGUCUUCGGAUUGUAAAGCUCUGUCUUUUGGGACGAUAAUGACGGUACCAAAGGAGGAAGCCACGGCUAACUACGUGCCAGCAGCCGCGGUAAUACGUAGGUGGCGAGCGUUGUCCGGAUUUACUGGGCGUAAAGGGUGCGUAGGCGGAUGUUUAAGUGAGAUGUGAAAUACCCGGGCUUAACUUGGGUGCUGCAUUUCAAACUGGAUAUCUAGAGUGCAGAAGAGGAGAAUGGAAUUCCUAGUGUAGCGGUGAAAUGCGUAGAGAUUAGGAAGAACACCAGUGGCGAAGGCGAUUCUCUGGACUGUAACUGACGCUGAGGCACGAAAAGCGUGGGUAGCAAACAGGAUUAGAUACCCUGGUAGUCCACGCCGUAAAACGAUGAGUACUAGGUGUAGGAGGUAUCGACCCCUUCUGUGCCGCAGUAAAACA